AAACAAACAAUUAAAUGCAAACAAUGAAACUUUCUCUCGCAUUGGCAAUUGUAAUCAGUAC
rnacentral:sRNA from 1 species